UACGUAGGUGGCAAGCGUUGUUCGGAAUUACUGGGCGUAAAGGGCGCGUAGGCGGCACGGCAAGUCAGGAGUGAAAGCCCUGGGCUCAACCCGGGAACUGCUUUUGAAACUGCCGAGCUAGAGUGCGGAAGGGGCAACUGGAAUUCCCAGUGUAGCGGUGAAAUGCGUAGAUAUUGGGAAGAACACCUGAGGCGAAGGCGGGUUGCUGGGCCGACACUGACGCUGAGGCGCGAAAGCCAGGGGAGCGAACGGG
rnacentral:rRNA from 1 species